AGCCGCCGCGGUAAUACCCGCAGCCCGAGUGGUGGUCAUUAUUAUUGAGCCUAAAGCGUCCGUAGCCGGGCCUGUAAAUCCUUGGGUAAAUCGGGCAGCUUAACUGUCCGAAUUCCGAGGAGACUGCAGGCCUUGGGACCGGGAGAGGUCAGAGGUACUCCAGGGGUAAGGGCUAAAUCUUGUAAUCCUUGGGGGACCACCAGUGGCGAAAGCGUCUGACUAGAACGGAUCCGACGGUAAGGGACGAAACCCUGGGGCGCAAACGGGAUUAGAUACCCCGGUAGUCCAGGGCUUAAACGCUGCAGAUUUGGUGUCGGGGGUCCUACGUGGGCACCCGGUGCCGGAGAGAAGUUGUUAAGCCUGCCGCUUGGGGAGUACGUCCGCAAGACUGAAACUUAAAGGAAUUGGCGGGGGAGCACCGCAACGGGAGGAGCGUGCGGUUUAAUUGGAUUCAACGCCGGG
rnacentral:rRNA from 1 species